AUGUGGGUUCAUUGGCACAAGAAGUGGAUGAAGUUCACUCACGAAGGGCGCCACAUCUCCUUGCGAGGCAUUCAAGACAGAAAUCAGCCUCUUAAACCCGUCUCGGUAAGGAAAUUGAAAGGACUGCUGCGCCGAGGGGCAAUCCAGCAUGCAGUUCAGAUCAAGCGUGUGCACCAAGAGAAGGAAUUAUGCUCUGUGGCUGAUACUGUGCCAACUCCUAACCAACUUCCUCCAGAGGUGGUCACGGUUCUGCACGAAUAUAAGGAUGUGUUCGCGGAGCCAUCCACCCUGCCACCCCGCCGUCUGGCUGAUCAUAAAAUCCCCCUUAUCCCGGGUGCUCAACCAGUCAGUGUACGCCCUUAUCGCUACACCCCGCAACAAAAUGAUGAAAUAGAGAGACAGGUCAAGGAGAUGUUGCGCAAAGGCAUAAUCCGUCCAAGCUCCAGUCCCUUUGCAUCACCCGUUCUGCUUGUUCGCAAGAAGGAUGGAUCGUGGCGGUUUUGUGUGGACUACUAG
rnacentral:rRNA from 1 species